UACGUAGGGUGCGAGCGUUGUCCGGAAUUAUUGGGCGUAAAGGCUCGUAGGCGGUCUGUCGCGUCGGGAGGGAAAACACGGGGCUUAACCCCGUGCCUGCUUCCGAUACGGGCAGACUAGAGGUAUGCAGGGGAGAACGGAAUUCCUGGUGUAGCGGUGAAAUGCGCAGAUAUCAGGAGGAACACCGGUGGCGAAGGCGGUUCUCUGGGCAUUACCUGACGCUGAGGAGCGAAAGUGUGGGGAGCGAACAGG
rnacentral:rRNA from 1 species